GGAGGACAAUCGGAGGCAGCAGGCGCAACUCCAGGUGAGUGAGCAGCCAGCAGUGCGUCUAGAGGAGCUGGGCGCUCGUCCGUCUGCAUCAGCAAAUCAGCAGGCCUAGUCGAGAAUAAUGGGUUGUCACGCGUCCUCUCUCCAUUCUGAAGAUGCUGUGCAGGAGGGGAACUAGGUCCAAGGGCGGAGGCGUUUCCAUCAUCUCGGGGGCUCUUGGGCAAAGGUUCAGCACUUGGCACCUUGCAUUUGUGGCCGAAGACUCCGCAUCCAACACAAGCCAACGGCUUCCACUCAUAUUCAACUUCAACAAUGCAUGAUUCACCUUGCAGGACCACCUCAAUGGAGUCACA
rnacentral:lncRNA from 1 species